AUUGAACGCUGGCGGCAGGCCUAACACAUGCAAGUCGAGCGGGGUUUUCGGACCUAGCGGCGGACGGGUGAGUAAUGCGUAGGAAGCUACCCGAUAGAGGGGGAUACCAGUUGGAAACGACUGUUAAUACCGCAUAAUGUCUACGGACCAAAGUGUGGGACCUUCGGGCCACAUGCUAUCGGAUGCGCCUACGUGGGAUUAGCUAGUUGGUGAGGUAAUGGCUCACCAAGGCGACGAUCCCUAGCUGGUUUGAGAGGAUGAUCAGCCACACUGGAACUGAGACACGGUCCAGACACCGACGGGGGGCAGCAGUGGGGAAUAUUGGACAAGGGGCGCAAGCCUGAUCCAGCCAUGCCGCGUGUGUGAAGAAGGCCUUCGGGUUGUAAAGCACUUUCAGUAGGGAGGAAGCGUUGUGUGUUAAUAGUACACAGCGUUGACGUUACCUACAGAAGAAGCACCGGCUAACUCUGUGCCAGCCGCCGCUGUAACAC
rnacentral:rRNA from 1 species